rnacentral:rRNA from 1 species
GAUGAACGCUGGCGGCGUGCCUAAUACAUGCAAGUCGAACGCUUCACUUCGGUGAAGAGUGGCGAACGGGUGAGUAAUACAUAAGUAACCUGGCAUCUACAGGGGGAUAACUGAUGGAAACGUCAGCUAAGACCGCAUAGGUGUAGAGAUCGCAUGAACUCUAUAUGAAAAGUGCUACGGGACUGGUAGAUGAUGGACUUAUGGCGCAUUAGCUUGUUAGUAGGGUAACGGCCUACCAAGGCGACGAUGCGUAGCCGACCUGAGAGGGUGACCGGCCACACUGGGACUGAGACACGGCCCAGACUCCUACGGGAGGCAGCAGUAGGGAAUUUUCGGCAAUGGGGGAAACCCUGACCGAGCAACGCCGCGUGAAGGAAGAAGUAAUUCGUUAUGUAAACUUCUGUCAUAGAGGAAGAACGG